rnacentral:rRNA from 1 species
UACGGGGGGGUGCGAGCGUUGUCCGGAAUCACUGGGCGUAAAGGGCGCGUAGGUGGCGUGAUAAGGGUGUGGUGAAAGCCCGGGGCUCAACCCCGGGUCUGCCAUGCCGACUGUCAGGCUAGAGUACUGUAGGGGCAGGCGGAAUUCCGGGUGUAGCGGUGGAAUGCGUAGAGAUCCGGAGGAAGACCGGUGGCGAAGGCGGCCUGCUGGGCAGUUACUGACACUGAGGCGCGAAAGCUAGGGUAGCAAACGGG